AGUGAACGCUGGCGGUAGGCCUAACACAUGCAAGUCGAACGGCAGCACAGUAAGAGCUUGCUCUUACGGGUGGCGAGUGGCGGACGGGUGAGGAAUACAUCGGAAUCUACUUUUUCGUGGGGGAUAACGUAGGGACACUUACGCUAAUACCGCAUACGACCUACGGGUGAAAGCAGGGGAUCUUCGGACCUUGCGCGAUUGAAUGAGCCGAUGUCGGAUUAGCUAGUUGGCGGGGUAAAGGCCCACCAAGGCGACGAUCCGUAGCUGGUCUGAGAGGAUGAUCAGCCACACUGGAACUGAGAAACGGUCCAGACUCCUACGGGAGGCAGCAGUGGGGAAUAUUGGACAAUGGGCGCAAGGCUGAUCCAGCCAUACCGCGUGGGUGAAGAAGGCCUUCGGGUUGUAAAGCCCUUUUGUUGGGAAAGAAAAGCAGCAGGUUAAUACCCCGCUGUUCUGACGGUACCCAAAGAAUAAGCACCGGCUAACUUCGUG
rnacentral:rRNA from 1 species